rnacentral:rRNA from 1 species
UAGGGAAUAUUGCACAAUGGGGGAAACCCUGAUGCAGCGACGCCGCGUGAGUGAUGAAGGCCUUCGGGUCGUAAAGCUCUGUCGUAUGGGACUAACACAAUGAAGGUACCAUGCAAGAAAGGAUCGGCUAACUUCGUGCCAGCAGCCGCGGUAAGACGAGGGAUCCUAGCGUUGUUCGGAAUUAUUGGGCGUAAAGCGGGUGUAGGCGGAUUUAUAAGUCAGGUGUGAAAUCCCAGGGCUCAACCCUGGAAGUGCACUUGAUACUGUAGAUCUUGAGUGUGGUAGAGGUUACUGGAAUUCCUGGUGUAGUGGUAAAAUACGUAGAUAUCAGGAGGAAUACCGGAGGCGAAGGCGAGUAACUGGGCCAACGCUGACGCUGAGACCCGAAGGCGUGGGGAUCAAACAGGAUUAGAUACCCGUGUAGUCCCUGAGCGGGCUGGCAAGGCGCAU